rnacentral:rRNA from 1 species
AACGAACGCUGGCGGCGUGCCUAACACAUGCAAGUCGAACGAGAAAGGGGCUUCGGCUCCGAGUAAAGUGGCGCACGGGUGAGUAACACGUGGGUAACCUGCCUCUAAGAUUGGGAUAACUCGUCGAAAGAUGAGCUAAUACCGGAUAAGACCACAGUUCCCCCGGGAACAGGGGUCAAAGUAGCCUCUGCUUGCAAGCUAUCACUUAGAGAUGGGCCUGCGCACCAUUAGCUAGUUGGUAGGGUAACGGCCUACCAAGGCAAAGAUGGUUAGCUGGUCUGAGAGGAUGAUCAGCCACACUGGAACUGAGACACGGUCCAGACUCCUACGGGAGGCAGCAGUGGGGAAUAUUGCGCAAUGGGCGAAAGCUUGCCGCAGCAACGCCGCGUGAGUGAUGAAGGCCUUCGGGUCGUAAAGCUCUGUCGGGAGGAACGAAUGCUCCCAAGGUUAACAGCCUCGGGAGGUGACGGUACCUUCAAAGGAAGCACCGGCUAACUCUGUGCCAGCAGCCGCCGUAAGAC